rnacentral:lncRNA from 1 species
AAAAAUAUUCAAAUAGUUAAAGAAAAAAAAGAGACCGCGUCUCACGUUGACUUUCAAAAUCCCCGCGCCGGUAUAAUUCCACACGCCUUUUCUUCCUUCCCUAUCCAUUAACUUCUCUAUAUAUAUACUUCUCGUAAACCUUCUCUACUCAUCAAAACAAAUUUUAGAAUAUAUUUUUUUAAAUAACAAUAAUCAAAACAGAGAGAAGAAAAAAAAAUGGUUGAUACAGAUUGCAAGAGGAAGCUGGUGUCACCGGACUUACCUACCAAGCUCCACGUCACCAUCCCUUCGCCGUUCAAGCUCCCCGUCUCAUCCCCCAUCUCCUGCUCCGCUCCUUCCUCUUGCUCCGCCUACGAGCUCUACCUCCGUCUCCCCGAGCUCAGAAACCUCUGGUCAUCACGUGACUUCCCU